GAAAAGUUCAGACACAGCACAGCAGGCAUGGGGCAGGUUGAACUCCAGUAUUAGAAAGGUCAUGUACAUGGAUGCCACAGUCACCAUGGUGAUGGCAGUAUCCAGAGGCAGAGGUAGCACGUGGACCAUUUGCCAGAGAUCCAGAAAAACGCACUGAGAGAUGAAUAGAGAAGACUAUCAUUGUUUCUCUACUUAACUCCCGCCACAUACUGCCUGCUACUGUGGAAUCUGAGAAAAAUGUAAGAACUAUUGGUAUAAACAACGCUGAAGAAGACCAGACGUGCAUGUGGAGCCCCAUGACGCAUCUUCAGCCAGGAGCAGCCGCACUUGCUCCACUGCAAUCCAGAGAGGAAAGUCCCGAUGAUGGCCCGGACAUAUUGGAAAAAAGAUUUGUCUUUCUCCCUGUGCACUGAGUUGCAGGGUUAGCGGCUACCAAAAGAGAAUGAUUGAAAGAGGCCACAGCCAGGGAAGAGGAGAGCAUAGAGGCGGAGCUGGGUACCUCCUUUGUGUGAUAUAAAA